rnacentral:rRNA from 1 species
ACGUAGGGGACGAGCGUUGUCCGGAUUUACUGGGCGUAAAGGGCGCGUAGGCGGUCAUUUAAGUCAGCUGUGAAAUGGUUUGGCUUAACCGGAUCAUGCGAUUGAAACUGGAUGACUGGAGUGCUGGAGAGGCAAGUGGAAUUCCCAGAGCAGCGGUGAAAUGCGUAGAUAUUGGAAAGACCACCCAUGGCGAAGGAGACUUGCUAGCCACUAACUGACGCUCAGGCGCGAAAGCCACGGCAGCAAACGG